UUGACGGCCAACCCCAAUAUCAGUAAGUUUUGUCCUUGUUUUAAAUUUUUGACAUAUUUUGCAUAAAAAUUAUUGCAGCUUCCCUGAAAUAUUAUUGAAAUAUUGAAAUAACAUGACCAGUCGAAUGAGAAUUUGAUAGGAAAUAAUCGAAAAGAAAAAAAAAUUAUAUACAAUAUCAUCUAAAUGAACCUGAUAGUGACUUGAACAAUACACCUUUGAAAGACUUCAUGUGUGAAGAUAAGGUUAGAAUAACAAGUGUAAAUGUUGAGAUAAGCUACAGAAUUGUAGAAUGGAAGAGUAAACAAUAGAAGAAACCAAAUCUCAUAGAGUUGAUAACUAUUCCAGUGUGUAUUUCCGAAAGGCUUAUGAAGAGAUAACUGAUGUCACAGAUGCAAAUAAUUUGAACUGAGGGGAGAUGUGAUGUCUGAACUUCAAUAUUUUCUUCUGCUUUGUUGCAUACUGGUCAUCUACAAAAAAUGGUAUUUUCUGUUGACAGCUACACAAGUUAAAUUCUCUUCCAUGCUUGAUGUAAUAUGAUCACGAUAGUAUUACACGAUAGUAUUAUUG